UAGCAUAUGCUUGUCUUAAAGAUUAAGCCAUGCAUGUGUAAGUAUAAAAGUAUUCUAUACUUGAGACUGCGAAUAGCUCAUUAAAUCAGUUAUAAUUCAUUUGAUGGUCACCAACUUACAUGGAUAACUGUGGUAAUUCUACAGCUAAUACAUGCGUCAAAGACCGACUCGUGAGGGGAGGUCUGUAUUUAUUAGAUACAAAGCCAAUGCACUUCGGUGCUCAUGUGGUGAAUCAUAAUAACUGUUCGGAGCGCACGCCACAAGCGGCGCUAGUUCAU
rnacentral:rRNA from 1 species